rnacentral:rRNA from 1 species
AACGAACGCUGGCGGCAUGCCUAACACAUGCAAGUCGAACGAGACCUUCGGGUAUAGUGGCGCACGGGUGCGUAACGUGUGGGAACCUUCCCUUAUGGUUGGAAUAACUCCCCGAAAGGGGUGCUAAUACCGGACAAUGUCUUCUGACCAAAGAUUUAUCGCCUUUGGAUGGGCCCGCGUUGGAUUAGCUUUUUGGUAGGGUAAAAGCCUACCAAGGCGACGAUCCAUAGCUUGUCUGAGAGAAAGAUCAGCCACACUGGGACUGGGACACGGCCCAGACUCCUACGGAAGGCAGGAGUGGGGAAUAUUGGACAAUGGGCGAAGGCAUGAACCAGCAAUGCCGCGAGAGUGAUGAAGGCCUUAGGGAUGAAAAGCUGUUUUACCCGGGAUGAUAAUGACAGUACCGGGAGAAUAAGCUCCGGCUAACUCCGUG